rnacentral:rRNA from 1 species
AAUUAGAGUGUUCAAAGCAGGCAGAUCCAAUUUUCUGCCACCGAAUACAUUAGCAUGGGAUAAUGGAAUAGGACCCUGUCCUCCUAUUUUCAGUUGGUUUUGGCAGCGCGAGGACUAGGGUAAUGAUUAAUAGGGAUAGUUGGGGGCAUUAAUAUUUAAUUGUCAGAGGUGAAAUUCUUGGAUUUAUGAAAGAUUAACUUCUGCGAAAGCAUCUGCCAAGGAUGUUUUCAUUAAUCAAGAACGAAAGUUAGGGGAUCGAAGACGAUCAGAUACCGUCGUAGUCUUAACCAUAAACGAUGCCGACCAGCGAUUAGGAGACGUUGAAUACAAAACACCACCAUCGGCGCGGUCGUCCUUGGCGUCUCGGUCCUUCACGGGGCCGGGGCGCGGGGGCGGUU